AGAGCCAGACAGCUGUGGUACAGAGAAAGAAGGGAGAGAGUUCUGUACAGGAGAUCACAGUGUGAAGCAUUUGGUGUGACCUCCAAGAGCUGCGGUUCUGUUCUUGUGGUCUCGGAAGUGGUCCUCGGAGCCUAGCAUUAUGGACAGGGUUUCUCUGUUUAACAGCCGUGGUUGUCCUGGAACUCACACUUUAUAGACCAGCCUGAUCUUGAACACUCAGAGACCCACCAGCAUCUGAUUCCUGAUGGGAUUAAAGGCUUUUGUUUUGUAGCCCCUGAUCUCCAUAUGGGAUUCUCUUGGAAUCUUGGAGCUGUUUGGCCUGUUGAGUCAGAGAGAAGAAAUACUCUGGAAUUUACUUGUCUGAUAAAUUUUCUCUGAACUGAACACUUCUUCCUGGAAGACAAAGGAAAGCUCAUAAGGCUCAGGAACGUCAUGAAAUUUACAAGACCCAUAAAGCUCAGAAAGGCACAAGACUUUAAGGCUUCUCCUCAAUGUUUUAUACCGAGUAAUCAGCUGCUGGGGAAGAAAAGACUUUGCAGUGGCAAUUCCUGCUAUACAAACAAGGGAAUUCCAUGUCAUAUAUGCUGAGGUAGGGAUAUUUGGUGAUGUGGCUGUAUUAUAUAUAUAUAUAUAUAUAUAUAUAUAUAUAUAUAUAUUCACACGCACACAUAUAUACAUGUACUGUGAGGAGCAGGUGUGGCAAUAGUCCCAAGAUGGCGCCCGGGACUGCAGCCAAGUCUUAUGACUUGCACCUAGAACUUCCUCAUACACCCGAAAAUAAGCCAUGUCCAUCGUGAGAGCUGCGCAGGCACACCAUGACACAAGAUCAGGCCAUUUGACGAAGGCCAAUGAACUGAGAUUGCGCGGACUGGGCUGAUGGGGCGUGGCUGAGGGGUGAUAUAAGGGAUUGCGAUUGGGGACUAGGGGAGAUUCCUGCUUGCAUGUUGAAAGGUUCCUGAAUAAACUGCUUUGAGAAGAA
rnacentral:lncRNA from 1 species